GCGUGAGGGGUGAGGACCAGUGCUACCAAUUAGGAGGGUUGCAAAGUGGGUAAAAUAGCAAUUCCGGGGGAAUGGCAAGUCGUGGCCUUAGGGAAGAAGAAAAAUCAAUUGUGGACAGUGAGCGAGAGACACGUGCUAUUGCGGGAAAAAACAAAAAAAGAGACAAAAUAAGCGGAAGACAAUAUUCAAACACCGGAGUGACGACAGGAGGGUUGGGAUAUACACCAGCGAGGCUUCAUAGGCAGAGGAGUAGCAGUAACUGCGGGCGUUCUGGGAAGUGCGCUGUGCGCGGGUCAGCACCGACCGGCAGUACUGGGUCUUAGGCCGGACCUCGGCCCUAGCGGAAGUCAGGCCAAUUUCCAUGCAACUGGAAGUCUGGGCUAAGUACCCUUCAACAUUAAAAUACUAAAUAUUCACACACAUUCCGCUCAAACAUAGAACCAAAAUUUUAUAUACACCCUACAUACAUAUACAUAGCCAUCUCACAUACACCAGUGCAGCAUAUAACACAAAAUUCAACUAAAUACUCACACAUAUUCCGCUCAAACAUAGAACACAAAAUUUUAUAUACACCACACACUCCUUUAUAUACACUCCAUACAUGUUCACAUACACCAUAUUCAAACACACACCGAAUUUCCAUAGCACUCAGACUCACAUUCAUCCCAUAGCCACAUAAUGUAAAAUACAAAACAAAAAAACAACACACAAAACAAUUAACAAUUUUCUGUUACACACAUAGCCCAAACCAUUCACAACAUAAUAUAAAACAUUAAACAGAAACACAACACCCAAACAUUUAACCAUAUUGUAAUACACACACGCCCAUAGCCACAUAAUGUAAAAUACAAAACAAAAAAACAACACACAAAACAAUUAACAAUUUUCUGUUACACACAUAGCCCAAACCAUUCACAACAUAAUAUAAAACAUUAAACAGAAACACAACACCAAACAAGUAACCAUAUUGUAAACAAAAAUUCAAAUGUAUACUUAAGAAAAAAGAACAUAAAAAAAAAAGAAAAGUAAAAGAAAAUGUAUAAAGUCUAAUAUAAGCAAAAGAGGUUGGAAUGUGUAUUGGAGCGGCGCAGUUUUUUUUUUUUGUUUAUCUCCUUGUCAUUACAUAUCAUUACACCCCUCAUAACCACAUACUCGAGUAUAGGUAGGUUAGGAGGUUCGAAAAUCGAAUAAGAUAAAUAGGCACAAAGAGCCAACAAACUGCAGCGUCCCAAAACUCAAUGGCCUAAAUACCCGAAUAUAUUUUUAUUGUAAUAAAAUUUAAAAUUUGAAAAUGAG